rnacentral:rRNA from 1 species
CAAUAGCGUAUAUUAAAGUUGUUGCAGUUAAAAAGCUCGUAGUUGGAUUUGUGGUGUGUCCAGUCGGCCUUUGCUCUCUGAGUGAUUGUGCUGUACUGGUCUGCCAUGUUUGGGUGGAAUCUGUGUGGCAUUAAGUUGUCGUGCAGGGGAUGCCCAUCGUUUACUGUGAAAAAAUUAGAGUGUUCAAAGCAGGCUUAUGCCGUUGAAUAUAUUAGCAUGGAAUAAUGAUAUAGGACCUUGGUACUAUUUUGUUGGUUUGCGCACUAAGGUAAUGAUUAAGAGGGAUAGUUGGGGGUAUUCGUAUUCCAUUGUAAGAGGUGAAAUUCUUGGAUUUUUGGAAGACGAACUACUGCGAAAGCAUUUACCAAGGAUGUUUUCAUUAA